UACAGAGGUCUCAAGCGUUGUUCGGAUUCAUUGGGCGUAAAGGGUGCGUAGGCGGUGGGGCAAGUCAGGUGUGAAAUCCCGGUGCUCAACUCCGGAACUGCACUUGAUACUGCCUUGCUAGAGUACUGGAGAGGAGACUGGAAUUUACGGUGUAGCAGUGAAAUGCGUAGAGAUCGUAAGGAAGACCAGUGGCGAAGGCGAGUCUCUGGACAGUUACUGACGCUGAGGCACGAAGGCCAGGGGAGCAAACGGG
rnacentral:rRNA from 1 species